AUUGAACGCUGGCGGCAGGCUUAACACAUACAAGUCGAGCGGAGAUGAGGUGCUUGCACCUUAUCUUAGCGGCGGACGGGUGAGUAAUGCUUAGGAAUCUGCCUAUUAGUGGGGGACAACAUUCCGAAAGGAAUGCUAAUACCGCAUACGCCCUACGGGGGAAAGCAGGGGAUCUUCGGACCUUGCGCUAAUAGAUGAGCCUAAGUCGGAUUAGCUAGUUGGUGGGGUAAAGGCCUACCAAGGCGACGAUCUGUAGCGGGUCUGAGAGGAUGAUCCGCCAGACUGGGACUGAGACACGGCCCAGACUCCUACGGGAGGCAGCAGUGGGGAAUAUUGGACAAUGGGCGGAAGCCUGAUCCAGCCAUGCCGCGUGUGUGAAGAAGGCCUUUUGGUUGUAAAGCACUUUAAGCGAGGAGGAGGCUACCUGGAUUAAUACUCUAGGAUAGUGGACGUUACUCGCAGAAUAAGCACCGGCUAACUCUGUGCCAGCCGCCGCCGUAAUAC
rnacentral:rRNA from 1 species